UGCUGUAUUAUGAUGAUUUGUUAAAAAAAACAUUGGGAAUCUCUCUGAAUAAGAGUGAAAGAGAAUCUUUUUCUGAAACGGCA